GUCCUCCUUCCUCCCAACACGGCAGUGGCGCGCGGGGCCAUGGCGGUGGACGGCCAGAUCUGCACGGCGGCGACCCUCCAAGGUCCGGUGGCGGUCGGAUCCGCAUGGGUCUGGCGGCGCACCGAGCUCCGUGGCCGGAGUUCUGCAGCUCGCCAGGUGGAGCUCGCCGGCCAUGUGCGUCGCCCGCGCGGUCACGAUGGAAGGUUGCAGCCCCCACACGCGCCGCGGCGACGUUGCUCGCCAGAGUUGUGGCCCCCAUCAUUUCAGAUCUGCGGCCUUCUUCCUUACCCAGGAAGCCAAGCUUCUUCCUCAUCGGGAUCCACACGCCCUCGUCCUGCUAGGUUCCAUCCUCCGUCCCCUAUCCUCCUUCUCUGCUGUCGUGGUCAUUGCCUGGUUGCCAUUCUGUUGAUUGGGUCUUUGGGUGUUGCCUCUCGUCGUCCCAAGGUCCGCUUUGUUCCCCUUGCAGUUCUCCUGCUCCUCCCCGUUUUCCUUUGAUCCAUUAAUGGUUACCUUCUACUUCGAAUCUCUGAUGGUUUGACAUUGCAGGUUUCGUUCACGGUGCUUCUCUGCUCCUGCUUGGUCCCCAGGUGCUUGCCUUCUUCAAAAAAAAAAUUUUACAACAAAGGAAGCGACCAUGUCUGAUCCCCUCCAUGCAUCUUAAUCCUUCUGCUACAGAGAGGGUUUGCUGCCCGGUCGGGGAUCUCAACAAAAGAAACAAAACCAGAAAUAAGGCCUAUGAAAUUUCUUCCCUGCCUACUGCCGCCCUAAUUGGAGGUCCUUCACCGAAUGCAACAGAGAGUUUUGCCCAGGAGCUUGUUGAGAUGUCUGUUUCAGACCUAAAGUUGAAGGUACAUCAUCCCUCUUUGUAUGGUGAUGCUUGUCACAAGAAAUUUUUGAAUUCAGUUUUCAGUCAUCCAGUAUUUUAGGUUGUUCUGUUUGUAAUCAGAGACUGCCAGCCUUGGAACUUUUCUCAGUUACUUUCAAGGAAGGUGUAGAGCAUGAGGCAUUAUUAGAUUGAGAUGAUGAACUAUAUGAUGGUGAAUCAAGUGAACUUCAGAGUAUUGGCCUUCAGUCAGGUGGGACUUGCCCACUGCCUGAAAAUAGGCAUGUCGAUGUUUCAGGAAGUCGACGACCUGUCAAUCCCCCUUCAUACGAGCACAGUAGCAAGAUCAACUGAAGCUCCACUAGCUAGCCAUCAAACAAGCUACGGUACGCGCACAGUCAUUCCUCAAUGGCUGACAGGUUGGCUUUCCCUAAUCUCUCCUCCUUCCUUGUUGCCUUUUAGAAUUUUACCACUGUUUAGAUAGAAGUUUUGAUGCUCCCUGUGGAUAUUUGAUUUAUCAUAGCGCCAACUCAUAAAAGGAAUCCUCAUGCUAUUACUUUUUCUCCUGAACAAACUAAUUAAGUUGGUCUAUUAGGUUCUUAGAUUUGCUGUCACUAAACAGUAUGUAUAUCUCUUGCAGGUCAUUUCGACUUCGUUUAAAUAUUUUCUCUAUUUUGAAUAUUGAUAUUUGCACCUGUUUCAAUGAUCCUGAGCUAUCCAUGUCUUGAAGGCAUAUGAUACAAUGACAGUAAGCUGAGUGGGUUACAUUAGUAUCUAGAUAAAAAAUGUGGUUCCUAUCUAUUCUAGGCAAUAAUAUUGAAUGGUAUGUUUUAAUUAAAUACUCAAAAUACAGAGUAAACAUGCUACUGAUUGAGUAGAUGGCAGCAACAUUGCUUUGCCGGUGAGAUAAUCUUUCAAUAUUAAUUAAAAUGCAGCAAUGGUACUUUUACCUCUUAUGUCCACAGGCCACCUAUUUUUCCUCCUGAUCUUGCAAGUUGGUAGCUUUGUUGUUCUACAAGCUUACACUGAUAAGGAUAAGGAUGAAUAUUCUGCACUCUAAGUUGGGCUCCAGAUCAUGUUAAUGGCUCUCCACUGCAGGUAGCAGCAUCAAACAAUAGGAUCAUUCGGUCCAUCAAUUAUUACAUCCUGGAGCUUGUGAAUAUGAAUUUUUUUUCUUGUGUUUAUACAUAGAUUGGACCUUGACAGGACAUGAACAAGUACAUUUUGUUUUCUUCAUGUUCACAUUUCGAUCAAUGAAUAAGGAUAGUUGUUUUCUCCAUGUUCACACGUUGGCCAGUAUAUAUGAAAGGCAGGAAGAAAUGAAACCAUUUUACCA